ensembl:snRNA U6 U6 spliceosomal RNA
GUGUUUUCUUUGGUAGCAUAUAUAUUAAAUAAUUGGAAUAAUACUGAGAAGAUUAGCAUGGCCUCUGCCCAAGGAUGACACACAAAUUUGUGAAGACUUCCAUAUAUUU